CUAUAUUAGAAGCAUGGGUAACAACAUGGUAUCAACAUGUCUGUUUAUUGUCAUUUUUUAAUUUGUCAAGGGAAUUUUCGUCAUUUCAAUCAUAUCCUUGCUUCCAUCUUUACUCCACGUGGUAAUGUAGUCAUGGCUUUACUGGGCGUGGCAUUCAUGCCUGCUUCCACCAGCUCCAUCUCAGUGCUCUCAUGAGUCUCAUCUAUCCACUGAUCAAGAGGAAGAUAAAAGCUUCUGCCAUAUUCUCUGAGUGCAACUUCAAUUUUCAGGUAAUUUGACACAUCUCUUUUCAAUUUUUGGCUUUAAUUUCUUAGUUCUUCGCAUGCUUUCACCCAAUUGUCUUUUGGUUUUAAUUUUUCAUCAGAUAUUUUUUUAAUAUAGUUUUAAAAAUAUGGGUUGGUUUAUAUAUAUUGUGAUAAUUUUCUCUGGUUUCAUCUAAUCUCUCAGUUAAUAAUAAUUUCUAUGUUCAAGUUUUAUGUGUUUAUGAUUCUAUGGCUCUAGAGAUUUGUGUAGGCUGCUAUGCACGGGUAGAACACUUUACGUUGUUAUCAUCACAUCUUCUCAACUCUGCUUAUAGUUUCUCGAUAUGUAUCUCCUUCACUUUUUGAUUGUGUGUUCUACUUAGUGAUUGUUGUGCUUUUGUGUCUAAUUGUUUGGGUUGAAGUUCUCUUUUAUGUGUUCACUUGUAAUUCUAUUGAGUUGAAUGUCAGGUGAUACUUUCUGCGUUUAAAGAGAAAAGUAUAUGUAUCGUCCUUCAAUUUUUUUGAUUUUCUAUGUGCAAGAAAUGAAAUCAUAGGGUUUCAGUUUUACUUAUAUUUGCAAAUUGAUUUUUUGGAGUUCUGUGUGAUUUAGGGGAAAAGAAAUUAGAGGUUAUUUAUUAGAUUCAUAAUUUUCGUUAUACUCUCGGUAAAAGUAAGGGAAAACAAGCAUGCUGCUUUUGAAUAUUUCUCAGCUUUUGCUCUAUAGAUGUUUGUAAAAGUUCUCCAAAGAAGCAGCCUCUUUCGAUUUCAAUUUUCUAAUGUAGCUUCUUAAUUUUUUUAAUUAUCUGAUAAUUUGUUGUAAAAUGUCACUGAGUUAAAACAAGGGAGGAGGAGUUGGCUAUGGAUUUUUCCGAGAUAGUUAACCACUUUUUCCACCAUCAAUCUUGGAUUAUUAAAGUAGAUCUUUAUCCUACGGCUAGCAGCUUAUGUCAAACUUUAUACAAAAGAUCGACCAGGUAAAAUGAGAAGUGACAUGGGAAUUAACUACCAUUUUCUCAAUGAGGAUGAGGGGUUUGUGGAUCAUAUAUACAUUCUUCAAGCUCGAACGAAGUGAAAGGACUGAAAAGAAAAAAUAGCCAAACAAGAGUCAUUUUAAAUGGUUAAAGACUAUGCCUUUUUUUUUUUUUUGUCUGUGCAAGUUUACCUGGAAGAUCAGCAGAGUAUGUGAGAUUCAGGGGUCUCUCUUCAGUAAACAUAAACAUUAAUUUUUUACACUAAUCAAGCAUCUGCUUAAAGUAAUACCAAAUAUUCUUUAGCUUUUAAUUCUUAAAAUCUUUUAUAAUUAUCGAUACUAAACUGCUGAUUUUAAGUUCUUUGUAACAACCUUUUACCCGUGUUGUUGUGACUUCUACUCUCAAGUUCUUUUGCUUUCGUGUUCUUACACUUCUGUGAGUUUCUCUUUCAUUUCUGACAGUUUUUCUCAUGCUUAUCAAUUGCGACUACUUGCUUGAUAAUUGUUCACACUUGGUUUCUACAUUUUCUUGCUUUAUAAUUGUUCAUUAUUUACUUUUGAUAUACACUUUACACCAUCUUUUGUUUGCCUACACGAUGUAAAACUGGUCACUGUUUGUACAUGAAAUGUGUUGCUUUCUUUAAGGCCACAAUCUUUCUAUUAUCCAUAAUUCACGCUCUAUACACAUUGCUAUCAUAUUAGGACUUAUAAUUAGUUUAAACUUACAUUUAAAUUUUGGUUUUGUUUCCUUUUCAUUUGGUCUUCUUACCUCUUUAUUUUUUUGACUCUUCUUAUUAGAAUAUCACUGCCCGUGAAACUAUGUUUAAUAAAGCAUAUGUGUGAUACUACUUGAAGCUUAAAUUUUUUUUGCCCCACCUUUGUGUGUGAUAAAAAAUCUCUUUAGACAAGAAUUGGGUUUUGUUAGGUAUUUAGGUAAAAAACUAUUUGAGCCACAAGUGUGGUGAAUUUCUUGAAAGAAAUUACUUUUCGAUCAAACUUCUAGAGUCUUCUUUCAAAGCUUGAGGUUUGUUAGAUUGUGAUUUUAUGGCUAUACAGUUUGUGGAUUCAAGAGUAGUAUACUCUGUUUGACAGAGAACUUUUGAUCCUUAUGGUCCCUCCAUGUCGAGGGGUUAAGACUGAUCCAAGAAAACCUCUACGCACAUAUGCCUAACUUCAUAACUAUUGUUCAUCCAAAAAAUUCUUCUGAUUUGUUACCCCUUAAUAAAGUCUGAUCGUUACUCAGAAACGUCCCAAAUGGAUCAAAAUUCAUAUCACUCUGCUCUGCAAUGCUAAGGUCGAAUUCUGACCACUAAAUAUUGUUGUUGCUUGAAAUCCAGACAAAUCAUGUGUUGAUAAGAACAUGUUUGCAGCUGUGUAAGUACCCAUUUUGGCGUUGCGGGCUGUUCUGUUGAUGUGUCUUGUUAAAAUGGAUUGUAAUGGUUAGUUGGUUCCAUUACUCGUAUUUGAUUACAGUUAUUCAUAUUAGAAAUUGAUUUUAGGCCACUAUUUGAAAACAAUGUCAAUGAAUUCUGAUUAUACAAUUCUUCCAAGUAGGAAGAACUGAAGUUGCUUACAUUGUUAGAAGUAGUAGGCGAUGCUUUUGUUUGUAGGGUUGCUUCGAAAAAAAUAACAUAUUCCAACCACUAUUUGGAUUGUUUCUUAAUAUUGUUCCGGUUUUUGAUUUUCUUGAAAGGCAUUGAAAGAUGGCAAUGGCGAUGACAAUGUGAAAGUGUCGUAGCUGCUAAUGUUGUUAGCAGCAGUAUUAGGCAUGAGUUGUACUGAUUUUGUUUGUGGGGUUGCUUAGAAUUCCAAAUACCAACCAUUUCUUGAAGAAGCCUUACAGCAGGUUGUUACUUCUGAUCUGACUAUCCUGUCUUUUGCUCUCUGUUGUGGUUUGUAUAUUUCUACAUUUGUAUAGUUUUCAGGGUGUGGUAAGUUUUGCUCUUCUACGAUUUUUUCUUAUAAAUUACUUAUGUGUACAUAUUGUAGUUUUACCUAAUUUUUUGUUUGUGACAAGUGACUACAUAUAAGCAUAUAUACACAUUAAUCAAUUUUGCACUCAAUUCAAACUUUCGUAUUCUUUUCAUGCCUUAUUCCUUAAUCCUUAGAAAAUAUCUAGUACAAAAAAUAGAAAAGUUGCAUAGAUGUCUUGUAGGAAUCAUAAAUGAUUAAGAUUGGAAAAAAAACAUGCUAAUAAAAGGGCUAGAAAAUGCGGAUUAUAUAGACUAUUGCCACCUGACAAGAAAAAUCUCCUUAAAUGUGACAAUGAGCAAACAUAGUUGAAUUAAGGUUUUUUCUGUGACAGUGAAACAGAAUUGGGGAUUUUUUAUAAAGAAGAACAAUUAGUAUCUAUGGUUUGAUUCGGAGGGAUAAUAUGUAUCUCUGCAGGAGAACAAUUAUGUUCCAUGUCUCGAAGAACUGGUUGUACGAUAUGGAAGAUUAGCAAAGGAUUAAAUUAGCAUUCUGACUAUAUUGUCAUUUUUAAAUAUUUCACCUAUUAACAUACAAGUUCUCUCAUGUGUCUAUAAGCUUAAGCCUUUGGGUGUUUUUUCAUUACCGUGGCUCUGAAAAUCCACCAUGUAGUUGUAGAAACUCCACGACUUCUUCAGUUUUUAUUCAAUCUUUUAUCUUAAAUUUUCUUUUGUUUUCCUUAAUCUUCUUAGGUGAUGGUAUAUUUUCAGAUUAGCUUCUCUUGAUGUAUUUAUCAAAGCUAUAUGAUCCUGUUUUUCUGAAACGACUUAUGUAAUCUUCUCAAUAUUUUUCGCUUUGUUUUGUUUCACCUUCGUUGUUUCAGUACUGCUAUCAUAUUAUCUCCAUCAACAAUACAACAAAGCGGAAAUAUACUUGAUAGUUUUCUGUUUAAGAAUAAAUAGUUGAUCACCUACACUGAAAAUAGCAAUAGCAAUAGCAAAUGCAUUUGCUGAUAGAAUAGAUUGAUACAAAAUUUAUAUAUGUAAACCGUUAAUUCGCUCGUAUGUUUAUAUCUUGGGUUGAAAUAACUUUGUGGCAUUUAAGUCUUUCUAAUAUGAAGGGAGGAUAUCACAAAUCAAAUACAUGCAUUAUAAUCUUUUGUUACAGUUGACAGAUAUAAUUUUUAUCGCAAAUUAUAGUGUGAAGUCUUAUUCACACACUCUUUUUUCUCUAAUUUCAAUUACUACAUCAUUAUUGAGCUCACUAACUAUUAUAAUUGAACCAGUAAGAUUUGUAUGAGAGGUGAAAUUGAUAUGAUGCACGAUGUCGUUAUAGAGGUUGUAUAAGUGUUUAUAUUGAUCUUAAGCUCGAUUUAUUUGUAGAUUUCAUUGGAUACAUAAAAUUUAUUGAACAUCAUUGUAAUUAUUUCUUGUCACAAUGUCGUCGUUGCCGUGGAUCUUCUAUUUGAAGCUCAAAUUUGAUUCUGAUUUACUUUUCAAUUUGAUUAUUCUUAAAUUUUCUUUUCCCCCAAGCUAAUGUUAUAUUCUUUGUUG